rnacentral:rRNA from 1 species
UACGGAGGGGGCGAGCGUUAUUCGGAAUUAUUGGGCGUAAAGGGCGCGUAGGCGGCUUGACAAGUCAAAGGUGAAAUCCCUCGGCUCAACUGAGGAACUGCCUUUGAAACUGUCUGGCUUGAGGCCGGGAGGGGGUAGCGGAAUUCCUGGUGUAGCGGUGAAAUGCGCAGAUAUCAGGAGGAACACCGGUGGCGAAGGCGGGUCUCUGGGCCGAUACUGACGCUGAGGAGCGAAAGCGUGGGGAGCGAACAGG